UUAUCUAUGCACACCUGAAAGCUCCUGUAAGGGCUCCACUUGGUCUGGGGGCAAGGUUCUCAUUGGGGUCUUCUAUAACUUAUGUCUGUUAUUGGGCCAGACUGUCAGUACCCACUCUCUGCAUACGUUCUUACCGCCUCUCACCCCUUUAUCCUCUCCACUUUUUAGGGUUCCCACCUUCAGGUGCAUGGGCUUCCAUAGAUGUGAGUCUCCACUUGCCAGUGAUUCUCCUCUCUCCUGGUGGAGUCAUUUUUCUUAACUAAGAUAGGCCAUAGUCCCUUGCCCUGUUCGCAUUGGGAAGUUCUACCCACCUAAUCUCACCAGCCCCUUUGCUUACCUGCCACUACAUUGCUCUACCUGAGAUCCUUUGGUUUAAUCAUAACCUGCAGCACUGGUUGUUUUCUGUUUUGUUUUGUUCCUUCCACUGGAACAGUCCUCAGAACCUUUCGUCACUUCUUUUAGGUAGAAGAGCUUCCCUUUGAAUAACAUUUCCAUAGCUCUUCUCAGGCAAGAACAAAGGUAGCAUAUACUUGUGAGUCAUACUCCAGUACCUGCAGUGGAUGCUUUUGGGACAUUUGUGUGAGUUAACAGCCCUUCCUAGCUCCCUGCUGGAAAUUGCUCCCUGGUUCAUGGAACUCUUCCAGUAUUUCCCCUUUCUUCUUCCCGCAGUAGCAUUUUCUAGUUUGCUAUUUGGCACUAGCAGAUAGCAAGCCACCAGUGACUGCAUCUUACAGCCAGGCAUCCUGACACCUGAGGACGGAUGCUUGGCCCAGGGUCCCACAUAGUCAUUUGCCUCCUUGGUGUUUGCUUACCUCCCAGAUGUGACCGUAGGUAAAGCUUCCUCCACUCCCCUUCCCACUUGGGCAGGCAGCUGCUCUGUGGAGAGCUUUUCAUUUCAAACUCACCUUCCCUUAUCUAGGUAGUGUAAUAACCUGGCCCUGUCUGUAGGCCGUUCCUUUGAGUUACUCUCAGAAGCCAUGGUGCUCUGCUUCCUGGAAGGAAUCUGAUCAAGGAAAGGCUUACCUACGAUUAAGGGUGGAACCCAGUUUGCCGCUUGCCAGCUGUGCGAUUUGGGGCCGCUGGCUUCCCCUUCUCCCUGCCUCAGGAUCUACUCCGUGGGGCUGCUGUGCAGUGAAAGAUGCGUGGACUCCAAGUGGUUAGAGCGGUGCCUGCCACAGAGUGGUGAUGAGGAGCAGAAGUUGGAUCUGUGAUUCUCCCAAAGCUUCCUCAGGUGGUGAUGUAAUGACGGAGGUCCUGGUGGUGGUCAGCACCACGAUGGGCAGGUGCUUUACAGGGCAUGGCCUUCAUUCCCCAGCAACCCGUAGGGCAGCGCUCUUUAAGGAACUGCUGUGAAGAGAGGGUGAAGAGCUGGAAAAGCACCAACGAUUUGAGGACUCCAGAGGCCUCUCUUGAGUACUAAAUGCUAACUUAAAAACCCAUUUAAUAAGACUAGCUAACAGUUGAGCACAUCCUGUGUGCCAGGUCCUGUUGGAGGCAUUUCAUGUGUCCUAACUCAUGUAAUCCUCAGCUGGCCCUGGGAGAGGGGAACAUUUUCACUCUUUCUUCAUAGGUGGCAGACCCUGAGGCACAGAGAGCUUCAGCAACUUGCCCACACACAGCCACACACACAAGCACAUACGUAUGCACACAUGUGCACACACUUAUGCACAGGCACAUGCACACACACACACACACAGGCAGAACUGGGAUUUGAUCCCAAGGUUCUGGCUCCAGCAUCUGUGUUCUUAUCCUCUGCACAGCACUUCUGCUAAGAGGAAGCUUAUUUUUUACAUUUGAAGCUCUCAUUUGAAUAACAACCACCACGACAAAAAUCUAAGGUUUUUCUGUUUCUCCUAAAAAUACUGAUUUGCAAAUAAUUCUGCAAAGAUUUCUGCAAAAGUAAUUCUUCUUUUGUAGUUUUACAAAUGAAGAGUUCUAGAGACAGUGAUACAACAAUCACAAUAAAUAUGUGCUGUCAUAUUUUUUGGCAGUAUUGUAAGUUAAAAUG
rnacentral:lncRNA from 10 species